AUGGCAUUCUUCUUGAACAAAUCCACCCUAGCUUCUCAUUUUCGAUCCUCAUCUCAGCAGAAGAUCGAAGAUCCCGUUUCUCUCUCGCGCCGUCAGUUCCAUGUUGAACCCGGAACUCGUGAAAAAGCUCUCUUGGCAGAAGAUUCAGCUCUCAAGCCAUUCAAAUCAUAUAAGCAGAGUGUAAAAAAGCUCAGGAAAAUUGGGGAUGUUUUAACUAUUGUUGUUGUUGCAGGAUGCUGUUAUGAAAUAUAUGUCAAGGCUUCAACGAGAGAAGAGGCUCGCAAGCAGUAG